rnacentral:tRNA from 1 species
GUUGGCGGAGGUUAGAGCAGGGGAAUCAUAAUCCCAAGGUCGGGGGUUCGAAUCCCUCCGCCGCCA